UACGUAGGGUGCGAGCGUUAAUCGGAAUUACUGGGCGUAAAGCGUGCGCAGGCGGUUUGGUAAGGCAGAUGUGAAAUCCCCGGGCUUAACCUGGGAAUUGCAGUGGAAACUAGGGGACUGGAAUCUGGCAGAGGGGGGUGGAAUGCCGCGUGUAGCAGUGAAAUGCGUAGAGAUGCGGUGGAACACCGAUGGCGAAGGCAGCCCCCUGGGCUGAGAUUGACGCUCAGGCACGAAAGCGUGGGGAGCAAACAGG
rnacentral:rRNA from 1 species